rnacentral:rRNA from 1 species
UACGUAGGUGGCGAGCGUUAUCCGGAAUUAUUGGGCGUAAAGCGCGCGCAGGCGGUUUCUUAAGUCUGAUGUGAAAGCCCACGGCUCAACCGUGGAGGGUCAUUGGAAACUGGGAGACUUGAGUGCAGAAGAGAAGAGUGGAAUUCCACGUGUAGCGGUGAAAUGACGUAGAGAUGUGGAGGAACACCAGUGGCGAAGGCGACUCUUUGGUCUGGUAACUGACGCUGAGGCGCGAAAGCGUGGGGAGCAAACAGGG